CAAGAGGAGUCAGUCUUGAGAUAAAGAUUCUUGGUAAAAUCAUUUAGUCAUCAAAUCAGGCAUACCUGAAGCCGGCCCUCCUCUAGACUUUGUAGACUGCAGCCUUUGGAAGGAAGUAUACAGCACACAUGUCAAGAGUGGAUAAUUUUCCUCCCCUUCUUGAGAGUGAAGCAUCUGGUGAGGACCUUUCUAUGAAUCAAACGCAAGUACAAGAGACAUUGAAGAAGAAACACUUUCCCCAUUUAACGUCCACUCAAAAAUCUCUAGUUUCUCCUGAAGAUGACUUUUAAGUCUUGCCACAUUUCCCAGAAACUGCUACCUUCUGACUUCUAUUAAAGAAUUUAGAAAAAGAAAACAAACUGAAUACAAGCUACUUAAUGGAUACUGGCAAGCCGUCAAACAGACAAACAAAGAAGUGAGGAUAAAUGAUGCUUUCCAAAUUUAAGAUUUACAUAGGAAAUCCUGUGAUAAGCCACCAUGCUUCAUACCAGGCAGCCCAGGUUAGAAGGCUCUGGAGUCCCGUAAUGUUCAACUAGGUUAAUACUCAACUAGGUCAAGACUCAACUAAGACAAUAUCAAGGAAUCAGACAAUGAAAACUCUACCUUGUCCCAUCAAAGCUUCUGUAUCUCAGGAUGGAGGCAAGAAGGCUGACAUUGAAAGUAUUUCCACAGGAUAAGAUUGAGGUCACAAGCAUUUACUGAAAGACUUAAGCAAAAAUGAGCAGCAAGAUUAAGAAAGAAAUAAGAAAGGCCAACGUUUCAACUGAGGCUGUGGAAGCUGAGGACAUUUUUACUGGAUUGGCCUUUGUGCUUGAGAACUGACUGCUACUUCAACUAUACUCUAGUGAUAAUUCUUCCUCUGUAUUAUUCAUUGUACUGAACACCUAAGAGCUGCCUUUCUCCAGAGCUAGAACUGCAAUUACAA